GAGAGAAAGAGAGAGAGAAAAAGAGAUAGAGAAGAGUGGCACCCUGCGGCGCAGGGUGCGCGUCGACAGUGAAAGUUUCGACAAGACGGCUCGCGCGAUUGGCGGAGAGUAAGGUAAGUGGUGGGGGUUACGCUGACUGGCUGGCUCUCUCGGUGGCUCGCGACGAGCGUUGUUCGGUCGCUCGGCUUUAGUCAGUGGCGGACCGUCUACGGUGUCGCUUCGUAUUUGUCGUGUGGUGUUUCGCGCGUUCACCUGCCAUUUUCAUUUCGAUCUGUUUCUCUAUUAUUAUAAUAUAUAUAUUAUAUUAUAUAUAUAUAUAUCUCGCCGAAACACACGAAAUUUGAUAUACGCAAGAAGAUAGAGACGUUGUUAAUUACUUGUAUCUAUUUUAUUCUCGACAGUAUAUGCACCCACCCAUCGACCCGGCGCGCGAGGAAAGAAUAUUUUUUUACAUAUAUUUAUCGUUUUGCGUGCAAGAAAUAAACACAAGAGAGUAUAUCUCGUUCGCACGUGUCCUCACGUUGCCUUUAAAUCGCAUUAAUCAAAGAGACGAAUAUUAAUUCCGAUUGAUUGAACGCAUUCGUCGUUUGUUUUCUAUUACAUUGGAUAUUACCGUGCUUCUUGUGGACAACGACGUGUUCGUGGUGGUGUGGUGGUGGUAGUGGUGGAGUGGUGGUAGUAGUAGUGGUUGGUAGUGUUGGCUGUGGUAGUUUCCUUGCGGAAGAAGAAGAAGGAAGAAGUAUAGAGAAAUAUAUAUAUAUAUUAUAUCUCGUUGUUGGAAGAAGAAGAGGAAACAAGACUACCACUAAGGAUUUGUUCUUUUUUCGGCCGGAAGAAAGAGAAAGAGAGAGAAAGAGAUAUAUAUAUAUAUAUAUAUAUCGCGAAAGUAGAGCGAACCAAUAGAAGGAGUACUUUGGUUCGUUGAAGUGUGUGUUAUACCAUGUGUAUGUGAGAAAGAGAGAGAGAGAGUUCAUCUGUGUCUCUCUCUGUGUUUACUCUGUCUCUCUCUCUCUCUCCCUCUCUUUAUCUCUAUCUAUCUAUCUAUCUAUCUGUCCUAAGUAUAUAUAUAUAUAUAUAUGUGUGUGUGUGUAUGUGAGGGAGCUCUCUGUGCGAAUAUAUGUGUGUACGUAUAUGUUGUACAAGAGGGAGAGGCUGGACCUGACCUCGAUACGGGAAUCGAGCGUUACUCUCGAAGGCCACCAAGGAAGUACACGCGCACACACUAGCACACACGCACACAUAUAUUAUAUAUAUAUAUAUAAAGAGAGAGAGAGAGACAGAUAGACGUGUACGUACAUAGAAGGAAGAAGGAUUUUUAAAGGCAAGAAACAACAUCGUCAGAAAAAGAUUAUUAAAGGGAAAAGAUAAUAAAGUAUAAUAAUAAAUAAAUUAAGGAACAAGGAAGAAAAGUAUUUCGUCGCUGAAUUAAAAAAAAAAAGAGAGAG